CCCGGGCGGCGUGCUAAUACAUGCAGUCGAGCGGACAGAAGGGAGCUUGCUCCCGGAUGUUAGCGGCGGACGGGUGAGUAACACGUGGGUAACCUGCCUGUAAGACUGGGAUAACUCCGGGAAACCGGAGCUAAUACCGGAUAGUUCCUUGAACCGCAUGGUUCAAGGAUGAAAGACGGUUUCGGCUGUCACUUACAGAUGGACCCGCGGCGCAUUAGCUAGUUGGUGAGGUAACGGCUCACCAAGGCGACGAUGCGUAGCCGACCUGAGAGGGUGAUCGGCCACACUGGGACUGAGACACGGCCCAGACUCCUACGGGAGGCAGCAGUAGGGAAUCUUCCGCAAUGGACGAAAGUCUGACGGAGCAACGCCGCGUGAGUGAUGAAGGUUUUCGGAUCGUAAAGCUCUGUUGUUAGGGAAGAACAAGUGCAAGAGUAACUGCUUGCACCUUGACGGUACCUAACCAGAAAGCCACGGCUAACUACGUGCCAGCAGCCGCGGUAAUACGUAGGUGGCAAGCGUUGUCCGGAAUUAUUGGGCGUAAAGGGCUCGCAGGCGGUUUCUUAAGUCUGAUGUGAAAGCCCCCGGCUCAACCGGGGAGGGUCAUUGGAAACUGGGAAACUUGAGUGCAGAAGAGGAGAGUGGAAUUCCACGUGUAGCGGUGAAAUGCGUAGAGAUGUGGAGGAACACCAGUGGCGAAGGCGACUCUCUGGUCUGUAACUGACGCUGAGGAGCGAAAGCGUGGGGAGCGAACAGGAUUAGAUACCCUGGUAGUCCACGCCGUAAACGAUGAGUGCUAAGUGUUAGGGGUUUCCGCCCCUUAGUUGCUGCGAGCUAACGUAUUAAGCACUUCGACCGGGGGAGUACGGGUCGCAACGAGUGGAUAUUCAACAGGAGUUGACAGGAGUCCGCAUGAAGCGGCUUGAGCAUGCUGGAUUUAAUUCGUAGCAAGCGCGGACAACAUUACUAUAGUCGUUGACAUGCUGCUGACUAUCUAACAGAUAGGUCUUGUCCUUCCGUGACGAAGGACGACGGGUCUCGCUGUCAUCGCCUCUGUCAUGACAAUGAUAGGUUUAAAUUACAGCAACGAGCUCAAACCAUGGACCUUAGUGUGCUAGCAU
rnacentral:rRNA from 1 species